UGAAUCGUCGCUGCUCCUGGUGUAUCCGAUUUGGAAUUCUGGAGCGCCAUAGAUUCAUCUUUGUUCAAGCAGUGGUUGAAGAACAUCGAAAGUGAGACUGGGAUUUGGUCUGGAGGUGACUUGUCUCUAGAACAAGUCUUAAUUCAGGGAGUGGAUAUGUUUGGAAAGCGCAUUGGGUUUCUCAAAUUUAAAGCAGAUGUUCUUGACAAAUCUA